GGGAGGGAGGGAGGAAGGGGGAGAGAGCUCGUACGCCGUUCGCCUUCGCGCUCGCCGUUCGCCGUUCGCCGUUCGCCGUCUCCGUCUCCGUUUCCGUUCGCCGUUGCCAUCUCAGUUCCUCGCUCACCGCCAGAGUCACCCAUCUCAGGUCUUGUUCAUGGGUCACUGUUCGCGUUCGCGUUCGGCGUUCGCCGUUCAUGGCUCGCUGCUCAAUAGUUUCCUCUCUCUAUUUCUGUCUCUACUAGCGAUUGAUUCAUGGGAGGGAUUGAAUUAGUGAUUUUUGCCUUAAUUUUUGGUUUGUGGUUGCCAUUGAUUUUUUACACUCAUUUGUAUUAGGGGUUUUGAAUGGGGUUGCCCUGCUUUUUGAUUUAAGGUUGCCAUUGAUUUUAUUUUAUUUUUUAACUAAGGGAAGCGAUGGCAUCUCAACAUAGGUUCCAAAAUUCCAAAUAUAAUCUCAUCAAACCUUCUCAUAUAAAAAACCCUCUAGGGUUAAGCCAGAGAGAGAGAGAGAGAGGCGGGAGGGAGGGGGAGAGAGAGCUCGUUUGCCGUUCGCCUUUCGCGUUCGCCGUCGUCGUCGCCGUUUUCAUCAAACCUUAAAAAGCCUCUAGGGUUAAGCCCGAGAGAGAGAGCCGGGAGGGAGGGAGUGGGAGAGAGAGCUCUUUUGCCUUUCGCCGUUCACGUUCGCCUUUCGCGUUCGGCGUUCGCCAUCUCAGUUCGUUGCUCACCGCCACAGUCACCCAUCUCAGUUCAUGUUCAUCACCUGUUCGCGUUUUGCCUUCGCCUUUCAAUGGCUCGCUACUCACUAUUAAAUCUUCUCUCUAUUCUCUCGCUACUCGCCGAUUGACCAUGGGAGGGAGGAAUUAGGGAUUUUUGCCUUAAUUUUGGUUUGUGGUUGCCAUUGGAUUUUUUCACACUCCUUUGUAUUAGGGGUUUUGAAUGGGGUUGCCCUGCUUUUUGAUUUAAGGUUGCAUUGGAUUUUUUUUUUAAUUUUUUUUUUGCCCUGAUUUGAAUGAGUUUUUUUUUGGCCCAUUUGAUUGGUGUUGCCGUUUUCUGUUUUUUGGCCCAAUUUGAAUCAGAAGUCUUUGAUUCAUCAUGUUGUGGUGUAAUUAAUGGGGGUGGGCCGCAAUGUUUUGGUGUUUUGUUGAAAGAAGACACGGUAUGGUGAAAGAAGAAAAAAGGUAUAAUAGUAGUUAGAUCAUUUAUUUGAGGCCAUUGUAGGAAAUUUGUGUAUUUUUCAAAUCUUCGGUGCAAGAAGAAAAGGGGUAUAUAGUAUUAGUCGUUUGAUCGAGGCCAUCAUAGGAAUUGUGGGAGAGAGGGCUCGUUUGCCGUUCGCCUUUCGCCUUUCGCGUUCGCCGUCGUCGUCGCCGUUUUCAUCAAACCUCAAAAAGCCUCUAGGGUUAAGCCCGGAGAGGAGAGCCGGAGGAGGUGAUGGGGAGAGAGAGCUCUUUUGCCUUUCGCCGUUCACGUUCGCCUUUCGCGUUCGGCGUUCGCCAUCUCAGUUCGUUGCUCACCGCCACAGUCACCCAUCUCAGUUCAUGUUCAUCACUGUUCGCGUUCGCCAUUCGCCGUUCAUGGCUCGCUACUCAAUAGUAUCUUCUUCUCUCUAGUCUCUCCUCUACUCCUACUCGCGAUUGAAUCCAUGGAGGGAUUGAAUAGGAUUUUGCCUUAAUUUUUUGUUUUGGUUGCCAUUGAUUUUUUACACUCAUUUGUUUGGAGGUUUUGCAUGUGGUUGCCCUGCUUUUUGAUUUAAGGUUGCCAUUGAUUUUUUUUUAAUUUUUUUUGCCCUGAUUUGAAUGAGUUUUUUUUUGCUCCAUUUUUGAUUUGUGGUUGCCGAUUUCUGUUUUUUGCCCUAAUUUGAAUCAGAAGUCUUUGAUUCAUCAUGUUGUGGUGGUAAUUAAUGGGGGUGGCCGCUGGUGUUGGUGUUGGUUGAAAGAAGACACGGUAUGGUGAAAGAAGAAAAGGGUAUAAUAGUAUUUAGUCAUUUAUUUGAGGCCAUUGUAGGAAUUGUGUAAUUUUUCAAAUCUUAGGGUGCAAGAAGAAAAGGGUAUAAUAGUAUUUAGUCGUUUGAUCGAGGCCAUCAUAGGAAUUGUG
rnacentral:lncRNA from 1 species